rnacentral:lncRNA from 1 species
UUGCUUGCGAGUACUUUGGAUGAGUACUCACGGUUGCUUUCUCCCCCCCUUUUCCCCCUUUCCUUUCUUUCUGGUUGUCGCAACCAGAUGCUGGAGCCCAGGAGCCGGACGCCACCAUCGACGACGACUACUACACUGGAGGUGCCUACUACUACGUGCAGCCCGCUGACGACGACCAGGAGUAGUUUAGGAGGAUCCCAGGCAGGAGGCCUGCGCCUCUUUCGAUCUGUAUCCCAGUUUGUGCUAGCCUUCUUAAGGCAAACUUGUUUAACUUAUGUCUGUACUCAGAUAUUGUUGCUUCCGCUGACUCGUCUAUGAUCGAGCACUUGUAUUCGAGCCCUCGAGGCCCCUGGCUUGUAUUAUGAUGCUUGUAUGACUUAUUUAUGUUUUAGAGUUGUGUUGUGAUAUCUUCCCGUGAGUCCCUGAUCUUGAUCGUACACGUUUGCGUGCAUGAUUAGUGUACGAUUGAAUCGGGGGCGUCACAAGUUGGUAUCAGAGCUGACUGCCUGUAGGACUCCCCCUUCCACACUCCUUGGCCGAAGUCGAGUCUAGACAUUGUAAAAACUUUUACUAACUUGGCUGUGUGCCUUACGGGUCCACGUCGCCAUCGGGUGGUAUUAGGAUCUUUUACUCCUCGAUCUUUACUCUGGGACUCUGACCUCUCUUCUAUUCGGGUUAAAUGAAUUUUACUAAAGCUAACUCUAGGUUCUCGAUAAUACUUUCUCCCGGAGAGCUCCUUCAGUCCAGAUGAUCGCCGGCUGCACCAGAAGAUUUCGAAGAUACUCUCCGAUUUUCUCUCGAGACCUUGUGCCCGUUGCUUUUGCAAUUCCCUUCCACCGAAAUAUCCCUAUGGAUAAAUACUUACACAUGUCGUGCUUACCUUUAUUCCCAGUUGAUCUUGUUAUUACAAGAUACCUCGAAAUUCUCUUUAAUGUUCCGAGAAUACUUUGUGCCUACUGCCUAGCAGUUCUUUGCUACACGAAUACCACUACGGAUAAUUUCUCGCACUUACCGAGUAUCCACUCAUCCCCAGUUGAUUCAUGUAUGUCACCAAUCCUCGAAAUAUCAUUCGAUCUUCCCAAAAUCUUGAGCAUCCUAUUGCUCUCGAAAUUCUUGAUUGCUUGCAUUAUGGUUAAUCCCAUAAGUCUAGUAAUCUUGUUGACAUCCAUUGUCAUUGUCAUUUUGAGUCCGUUGAUUCGAUUUGUUGCGAAAGCUCGCAAUCCUCAAUCAGAUCCUAGAAUUCAUCCUUCCGGCUCAAACGUCGUUUUAAUCAUGAGAUGGUUCUCGUCAGUUAAAUUGUCGUCGAUUGUGCCCCUAAGUCUAUUGAACUUAUCCAUCCUUGAUCAGAACGUCUGCUUCUGAUCCUUCGCUUUGUAAAUCUUAAUUCCUUAGCAAUUGAGCUCUAAGUUAUUCAGUUGUUUCUAUAAUCCAAUGUCUUUGCCUUGCUUCUUCCUCUGGUUGUGUGUCGAUACUCACCCCCAGAUCCUUUGUUGGAUUUUAUCCGACAAUGUCCUUCAUUUGGAUAUAUACCGCAUUUGGUAAAUUGUAUCCUCUGCUUUGUCAACCAUGCUCUGCUAUCGAGCUUGUGUCAUUUACUCCUGAAGUUUGUGGUAUAUGUUCCUAAGAGGCCCUGAUGGGUUGGACACCUGCCUUCUCUAAACUGUGUGAACCCGGAAACUACCAUGGGUCAUACUCUGCUAGUGUUAUGUCAGAUAGAAUUUCAACACACAAUUUCGUUGAAGGCGAGAAGUGAAUGAAAGGUUAUGCAUUAAAGAAGUGGGAGUCGACCUUGAACUUUGUGUUCAUGCCCAUGGACACGAUGUAGAUCUUAUCAUUAAAAGCUUCUCUUAAAUUAAUUAUUCCCUUGGUAUAAGUUCAUCUUAUAUCUGGGAUCUGGCCUUUUGCAAUCGUGGUUCCGACCAUAUGUUCUUCCUUGAUCCCAUUUCUUGGGCAAGUUUAAACACUUGUCCUCUGCAAAGCAAUACCCCAGACCAACCUCUACUUUGGUCUGUCGUCGAGUAACCCCUGGUAUCUCGAGGAUAUCACGCCAUUGCACUACCUUACCCUGUCCUUUGAUGGAGUACUACCUUUACCCUGUCUUUGUCACUUCAUGCUUCUGGGUUGUUUGUUAACCGAGAACACCGAUAAGUGAAUCGAUUCAGCACUCCGAUUCAAUAACUCUAAGUAAUUUUUUGUUGCUUACGAGUUUAAUAAUCCUUUAGGUCAUUCCUAUCCUGAUCAGCUAUAUCAUCAUCAUACUAAUUUUUUUUAACUAUGCUACCUGGUCCUUAUUCCCGGAGCACAACUUUCAACGAUGAACUAGCUUGCGUCGAUUUUCGUCGUCAUAUCAUUUCUCCUUGAACAACAAACUUGAAUUCGAGUUUGUGUCCUAACCGUGGUUCCAAUAAUCUUUCGCUUCAUCAUUCGUUUGACUUGAUGUCAUCGUCGAUCGAUUACAUCUUCGUGUAACCUCUCGACAAAUGUGUCGUGAUCAUCAUCAACCUUAUGAGCUCUUCCAAGAUGUCAAUCGGAUUCAUGAUGAGAAAUACCAUCCUUGCCUCGAUGAUUUGUGUUAUCAUCAACCACUUUAUUGCCUUCCCUCCAACACAAACUUGUUCGUGUUUUGUGUUAUACCUUGAGUUCCUUGCUACCCAGCAUUGUUCUUCUUUACAUUGGAAUAUUACCACCUUUUAUGUUAAGAAUGUCGUGAGAAUUUCACCACCUCUUAAGAAAUUCUUGUUGCAGCGAUGCUUCUCGCCAUCACCAUUCUUUCUUGAUCCCCGUGUUGGUUCUAACCAGGAUACCAACAGAUGAACGGUGCUAUUUGGAUUCUGCCCUUCUAGCAACCCUAUUGCUUUGAAGUUAAUGGUUGGCCGUUCAUUCUUAGACAUUUGAUUAUUGAAUCACCAUUCCGACGUUGGUUGAGCAACCCAGCCCAUAUUUCGGGUGCACCUUUCAACCAAUGUUUAAUUGUGUAUGUUUUCCUCGAGCAUACAUCAUUAUACCAUUUGAUCUGACAAAUGUUAUCUCCUUGUUCACAUAAUUGUGGAAAUCCAUCUUUUGUUAAUCUCGAUGAAUUGUCGCUGAUUCCAUCAGCCACCUCCUCAUCCUCUUGUUGGUUUACCGAUGAACUCUUGUUUCGGAACUGGCUUCCAUGGUUCAUCUCCCGAGAAUCUUCGAUGUCAUCUCGUCAAUUUGUAUCACACCUUUUCUCCUCAAGCAUCAUGAGUUUGAGGUAUCCUAACACCGAUCAGAUCUGAAUCUCGGUCAGAUAUGAUGGUUGGAACAUUUUUCCAAGAGUUAUAACACUGGUCUUUUAUGACCCGGUAAGGUGAUGGCAUGCCCAGCACACCUGGCCGGAUGACCUGCUGUUAUAGUUUCCUUAUUAGCAAGGUUAUCCAUCCUUCCAUGAGGAAAUUGUAAGAUUUAUUCUACAAGUUGUUCCUGAUGGGCCCUUCCUGUAUCCAAAGUCUGACCUUUGCUUGAAGACCAUGUCAAUACUAUCUCGAAGCAUGUCUGUGGUACUCCGAUUUUCAACAAGAACAUUUGAAGCCCAAUGCUAAAUGUUUCCUGCUCAAUUAUCCAAACACCGCUGUAUGAGUAAUGUCAUGAAAUUCCUCUCCCCUUACAUAAAUGGUUUUCUACUUUCUAUCCUGUCAUGGAUAUCAUGCUCUGUUUGUCCUUGGGAAGGAUAUACCCCUGAAAUAUGAGUUUAAACACAUUCUUCCUUUCCAUUGUUUGUUUAAUCUGAAAGUAAUAUUUCCUUCCUAUUGGUUUGUUUAACCUUUCUCGUGAUCUAUAUGAUCUCAGCAGUAAUAAUUCACUACUUAUGUAGACACCUCGGAGUACAACUUUGUCAGUGAAACCCUGUUUCUACUGUUGAUGACAUUCCGGUAACCACCGAUGGACGAGAACUUUGCCUCUUGGCCCGCCUCAUUUCAACGAGCAGAAAAAUGGUUCUCUUCAUCCCUUGCCCUUGGUACCGAUGUUGUUGCCGACAUACCCGACAAGCUAUUCACUGACAUGCCUCCCUAACGCGGCUGUACAAGAUGUCACCAACCUUCCUACUUUCAACCCACAUGGUGGGCCCAUAACCCACAGGUCCACUGGAUCGAAACCUGACUCUUCUUUACAACCUGAAUUCUAAUGUAUCUUUGCACCUGGCUUCGUAUGUGAUUCACGAGCUAAAUGUUAUACCAUUGAACAUCCUGGAGCCAAACACCAUGUUAUUCUCGUUGUUCAAACCCCCAUUCCAGCUUCUGUCUAGUCGUUGAAUGAUUGCCUACCCGUUUGAAACUUUGGUACAAUCGUAUAUUGCACUCAACGAGUUCACUGAAAUACAACUCGUGGGGUACCUUAUGUAUUUCCCAUUGAGUUCACCGUCAGAUGCCCAGCUUUGUGCAAAUGCAUUCUUUCGGAGUUUUUCCCCUUGGUCGCGUUCGUAGGACAAUGGAGGUCCCGAAGAAAGGAUGACUACUUGAUCAUGGUGACUUGAAGCAGAGAAAUGAAGACAUCAAUGAAAGGGAUCAACCUCUUCGAAAGGGCAGCCAAGACCGACAAUACUCGUUAGGUUUUUCGCUACCAGCACCUCCCCCCUUACUCCAACACUUAAAUCUCGGGACGAGAUUUCUUGUAGUGAAGGAGAAUUGUGACGCCCGGGUAAUUAAGCUACAUUAACCCCCUCGUAAUGAUGCCACAUCACCUCAGUUACUAAUGAUAAACUCGCGUUGAUUAGAAACCAAUUCAAAUUCAAAUUUAAAUUCAGCAAACAAUCAAAGUUUUCAAAACAUUAAAACAAAAAUGUUCGGUGUGUGACAAAUAUUGCUAUGGUAAUUAUAGUAAAGAAAACAUAAUUUUACAAGGUGCCUAAUUGCUUUAAACUAAAUAAAACAGAAAAGAGAAAUAACUAAAAGAAGAGAAAAACUAAAACUAAAAAAAGAGAGGAGAAAAGCAAUCAACCCCCACUAGGCUUCGGCCCAGCAGGCCGGACCCAACUGGCCCAACCGGCCACUCCCCCCACUCCUCCUUAUCCCCUCACCCACCGAAACCCUAACCCACUACCACCACUCACUCGCCUUUCCCCUCCCCCGAUCUGGAUCGAGAUCUGGGCGUGGACUCGAAGCCGCCCGAUGCCACCCCACUGUGGUCGCCGUCACCUCGCCGCCCGGCGCCGCCCGGAGCGUCCUUGCCGGCCUGCCUCCUCCUCCACGCCGGCCUGCUUCCUCGUUGGACGUCGUCCCCGUCCUCCCCCUCAACAACCGCUGCCCUUGUCCCUGCACACCAUCGUGAGCUCCCUCCCUUCCCCUUUGUCAUCGGCGCCUUCCACAGCACGCAUGCACGCACCGCCCCGCACGCAACCGAGCCUCACCUAGUCGCACCUCGCCCCAGAGGCGCCCUGCCGCGCCGGACCGCCCCGCCCCCGCCUCUCCUUCCCCGACCGGCUCCACCACCGGACUUCGUCGAGCUUCGCCGCCCUCGUGCCCCUACAAACGCCCGUGAACACGUUGCCUGCUUUCCCCUUCUUCCCCCAGGUCGCCGUGGUCCCCACCGAUCUCGCCCGCGGUUGACGCGCUCCGGUCGCAUCCGUUGCGCGCUCACUGCGCCACUUCUGCGGCCCCUCACAGUCGCCCGGAGCGCCCCUACUCGCCCUUCGACUACUCCGCCCUCUGUCGCGGCCACCGCCUGCCUGCACCGCGUCCGUGCCGUCUGCUCCUGCUCUGCGGCCCAGCCGUGUGUGCUCGAGUACCCCGGCGCCCGCGCCUCGCCCGGUCACGCCACCUUCGUACGCGCUCGUUGCGUGCUCUCGCAGCUGCGGCCCUGCUCGCGGGCUGCGCCCGGGGCAGCCCUCGCCUGCACACCCGUCGCCCGUUAUCGCCCCGCCCCAUUAGGCCCCUGGAGCCACUGGUGGUUGGGCCCCGCCCUGUGUGCCAAUGACACAUGGGGCCCGCCCCUGUUAAAAUGAAAACAAAAAUAUAAAUGUAAAAAAAAGGGAUGUUUAAAAUUGUUAAUUAAUUAAUUAGUUAAUUAAUUAGAUAAUUAGUUAAUUAACUUUGAUUAACUUUGAUUAAUUAGCCUAAUGAACAUAUUUAGUCUAAUUAAACCUGCUUAAUUAAACUAGACAAUGACACUUGGGCUCCACUGCCCCUUUGACCAGUCAACCCGGUCAAAGUUGACUGUUGACCCUGCUGACGUCUUGAUGACAUCAUGCUGAUGCAGUAAUGCCAUUUUCGAAUUUAUUUUUUUAUAAUGAUUUAUAAAUUGAUUUAAGUCUUUAAUAAUGAAUAUAAAAUAAACCGUAACUCGGAUGAAAAUACUUUAUACAUAAAAGUUGCUCAGAACGAUGAGACGAAUCCGGAUACGCAGCCCGUUCGUCCGCCACACACCCCUAGCAUACCGAACACGCAACUUUCCCCCUCCGGCUCCUCUGCCCGAAAACGCGAAACACCGGGAAUACUUUCCCGGAUGUUUCCCCCCUUCGUCGGUAUCACCUACUACCGCGAUUGGGCACACCUAGCAUCGUUACUUGUCAUGUCAUGCAUCGAUAUGCAUUUGUUUGCAUUGUAUUCAUUGUUUCUUCCCCCUCUUCUCUCCGGUAGACCACGAGACCGACGCUCCUGCUGCCCAGUACGACUACGGAGUUGAGGACCCCUCUCUCUUGCCAGAGCAACCAGGCAAGCCCCCCCUUGAUCACCAGAUAUCGCCUACUCUUCUCUAUACUGCUUGCAUUAGAGUAGUGUAGCAUGUUACUGCUUUCCGUUAAUCCUAUUCUGAUGCAUAGCCUGACAUUGUUGCUACAUCUGUUGAUACCUUACCUGCAAUCCUAAAUACUUAGUAUAGGAUGCUAGUUUAUCAUCAUUGGCCCUACAUUCUUGUCAGUCUGCCUUGCUAUACUAUUGGGCCGUGAUCACUCGGGAGGCGAUCACGGGUAUAUAGUAUACAUACAUACAUACUAUACAGAUGGUAACUAAAGUCGGGUCAGCUCGAAGAGUACCCGCGAGUGAUUCACGGAUUGGGGGCUGAAAGGACCUUUGUCCCGACGGCCCUCUGUGUGGAUCUUUGUGGCGGAGCGACAGGGUAGGUUGAGACCGCCUAGGAGAGAGGUGGGCCUGGCCCUGUUCGGCGUUCGCGGAUACUUAACACGCUUAACGAGAUCUUGGUAUUUGAUCUGAGUUGGCUACGAGCCUAUACGCACUAACCAUCUACGCGGGAGUAGUUAUGGGUAUCCCGGCGUCGUGGUAUCAGCCGAAGCACUUCAGACGUCAGCGACGGAGCGGCGCGCGCCGGAUUGGAACGUAAGCCUGCUCUUGUAUUAAGGGGGCUAGUUCUGCUUCCGGCCGCCCACGCAACGUGCAGGUGUGCUAUGGGCGAUGGGCCCAGACCCCUGUGCGCUUAGGUUUAGACCGGCGUGCUGGCCUCUCUGUUUUGCCUAGGUGGGGCUGCAACGUGUUGAUCUUCCGCGGCCGGGCAUGACCCAGGAAAGUGUGUCCGGCCAAAUGGUAUCAAACGUGUUGGGUUAUGUGGUGCACCCCUGUAGGGAAGUUAAUCUAUUCGAAUAGCCGUGAUCUUCGGUAACAGGACGACUUGGAGUUGUACCUUGACCUUAUGACAACUAGAACCGGAUACUUAAUAAAACACACCCUUCCAAGUUCCACAGACAACCCGGUGAUCACUUUUCUACAGGGAGUCGAGGAGAGGAUCGCCGGGUAGGAUUAUGCUAUGCGAUGCUACUGGAGAUGCUACUUGGAGAUACUACUUGGAGAUGCUACUUGGAGAUGCUACUUGAAGGACUGCAAUCUACUCUCUUCUACAUGCUGCAAGACGGAGGCUCCCAGAAGCGUAGUCUUUGAUAGGACUAGCUAUCCCCCUCUUAUUCUGGCAUUCUGCAGUUCAGUCCACUGAUAUGGCCUCCUUACACAUAUACCCAUGCAUAUGUAGUGUAGCUCCUUGCUUGCGAGUACUUUGGAUGAGUACUCACGGUUGCUUUCUCCCCCCCUUUUCCCCCUUUCCUUUCUUUCUAGUUGUCGCAACCAGAUGCUGGAGCCCAGGAGCCGGACGCCACUGUCGACGACGACUACUACACUGGAGGUGCCUACUACUAUGUGCAGCCCGCUGACGACGACCAGGAGUAGUUUAGGAGGAUCCCAGGCAGGAG